rnacentral:lncRNA from 10 species
AUCCUUUGUUUAGCUUUGCAUGUUAGCAGACUUUGUUAUUUCACUUAUCUUUAGAGACACAUUUAUAUCAGAAAAUUUAACUUGAUGAUUAAAAAAAUUGGUGAAAUACGUGUAGACUUUUGUAACUGGAUUAUAGUUUCAUCUAAGAACUCACUAAAAAUAUAUUGAACUUCAGGAAGAGAUUUUUAAAUGGCUUUGGUAAGCCAUUUAAAAGCCUUAUUUUCCCAAACGAAUUAGUGUUGGUGUGUGGAUGAGGAACUUUGCUGUUAUUCUGUGAGCAUUACCUGAUAAGAACUAAUCAGAUGACAGAUGGAAUCUGAAGCUUGUUCUGAUGAAUUUUUGAGGAAAGGAGAAUGGUUUGAAAAUGGUAAUGAGGAGAAAGAAUGACACUGACACCAGCUCCAGGUCCCGUGGAAUGAAAUCUAUGACAGUUUCUUGCUCUGUCACCCAGGCUGGAGUGUAAUGGUGUGAUCCUAGCUCACGGCAGCCUUGAAUUCCCAGGAUCAAGUGAUUCUCCCACCUCAGCUUCUGGAGUAGCCGGGAAUACAGAAUCUUUCUCCUCCCUUCUUUGUGGUUCCUGAACUGAUAAAAAUGAGCUGCAUUUGCUUACUUUAUUGGAAUACAGUCCUCCCAUAACAAGACUAAGUGAAAGAGAACAUGUUUUCCAGGGGAAGAA